rnacentral:rRNA from 1 species
AUUGAACGCUGGCGGCAGGCCUAACACAUGCAAGUCGAACGGUAACAGGAAGACGCUUGCUUCUUUGCUGACGAGUGGCGGACGGGUGAGUAAUGUCUGGGAAACUGCCUGAUGGAGGGGGAUAACUACUGGAAACGGUAGCUAAUACCGCAUAACGUCGCAAGACCAAAGAGGGGGACCUUCGGGCCUCUUGCCAUCGGAUGUGCCCAGAUGGGAUUAGCUAGUAGGUGGGGUAACGGCUCACCUAGGCGACGAUCCCUAGCUGGUCUGAGAGGAUGACCAGCCACACUGGAACUGAGACACGGUCCAGACUCCUACGGGAGGCAGCAGUGGGGAAUGUUGCACAAUGGGCGCAAGCCUGAUGCAGCCAUGCCGCGUGUAUGAAGAAGGCCUUCGGGUUGUAAAGUACUUUCAGCGGGGAGGAAGGGAGUAAAGUUAAUACCCUUGCUCAUUGACGUUACCCGCAGAAGAAGCACCGGCUAACUCCGUG